AUAAACGUCACAGGGGCCUCCAAAGGUCCUUAAGCAUAAAACCAUAGAGUUCACCAGGUCAUGUGACCCGCAGGUCCUGUUACGCUAUUCAUAGCGUGUUAUGUCAUUGGGAUUAUACGACCCGAUUGUAGCUGCUGCAGUCAAGGAUAUUGCUGUGCUGCACAAGGCAGGUACAAGGAUAAGUGAUCAUCACUUGGAGCAAUCUCCUGCAAUUCAGAAGUGAAUUACAGAAGAAAACACUUUCCAGAGAGCAGAGAAAAGAGAAGACAACUGCCAAUGUCAAUACACAAUGUCACUGUACCCGAAUAUCUACUGAAUACCGCAAUAAUCCUUAAUAGGACAGUUUGUAGCCUGAAAAUGUUGAAAAUCUAGAGCACAGACUUUUUAGAGCACAGAAGGUUUCCCUACAUUUUGCACUUUUCUGUACGCUUUGCUUUUUUUACACAUGCUCUGAUCUGAAGGGUUUUUCUGAGCUCAAAUCCACCACAUUUUCUGUGGAAAUCUUAGUAAAUAUGUUGGGUUUUUGUGAAAAUGUAGGGGAACAUGCCCCUUUUCAGUAGCCACCCCCACUUACUGACACCCGCACCCCUUUUUUUGGGUUUUCUCAGUAAAAUGGAGAGUUAUUCGUUUUUUUUCCCAAUUCUGGCACAAAUGCUGGCAGAGAUUGCGUAAGAAAUUCUGUCUGUGCCAGAAUCUCCGCGGAAGAAAUUCUGUCUGUGCCAGAAUCUGACGCACAACCUGACAAAACAUGUUGGGUUUACAAUAGUAAAUCAGGGCCACUGUGUAUCUUGCUCCUUUUUUUCUUGUUUUUGCUGUGGUUUUGUCAAAAUUAAAGAAAAAAAAUGAAGAUAUCGUACCGCAAUUGUGCAAAAUAAGAAGUGUAAUUAUUACCAUGAUUUGGAAAAAAUGCAGCAAA